CUGGCGGCGUGCCUAAUACAUGCAAGUCGAACGAACUCUGGUAUUGAUUGGUGCUUGCAUCAUGAUUUACAUUUGAGUGAGUGGCGAACUGGUGAGUAACACGUGGGAAACCUGCCCAGAAGCGGGGGAUAACACCUGGAAACAGAUGCUAAUACCGCAUAACAACUUGGACCGCAUGGUCCGAGCUUGAAAGAUGGCUUCGGCUAUCACUUUUGGAUGGUCCCGCGGCGUAUUAGCUAGAUGGUGGGGUAACGGCUCACCAUGGCAAUGAUACGUAGCCGACCUGAGAGGGUAAUCGGCCACAUUGGGACUGAGACACGGCCCAAACUCCUACGGGAGGCAGCAGUAGGGAAUCUUCCACAAUGGACGAAAGUCUGAUGGAGCAACGCCGCGUGAGUGAAGAAGGGUUUCGGCUCGUAAAACUCUGUUGUUAAAGAAGAACAUAUCUGAGAGUAACUGUUCAGGUAUUGACGGUAUUUAACCAGAAAGCCACGGCUAACUACGUGCCAGCAGCCGCGGUAAUACGUAGGUUGGCAAGCGUUGUCCGGAUUU
rnacentral:rRNA from 2 species